rnacentral:rRNA from 1 species
AUUGAACGCUGGCGGCAUGCCUUACACAUGCAAGUCGAACGGCAGCACGGGUGCUUGCACCUGGUGGCGAGUGGCGAACGGGUGAGUAAUACAUCGGAACAUGUCCUGUAGUGGGGGAUAGCCCGGCGAAAGCCGGAUUAAUACCGCAUACGAUCUACGGAUGAAAGCUGGGGACCUUCGGGCCUCGCGCUAUAGGGUUGGCCGAUGGCUGAUUAGCUAGUUGGUGGGGUAAAGGCCUACCAAGGCGACGAUCAGUAGCUGGUCUGAGAGGACGACCAGCCACACUGGGACUGAGACACGGCCCAGACUCCUACGGGAGGCAGCAGUGGGGAAUUUUGGACAAUGGGCGAAAGCCUGAUCCAGCAAUGCCGCGUGUGUGAAGAAGGCCUUCGGGUUGUAAAGCACUUUUGUCCGGAAAGAAAUCCUUGGCCCUAAUACGGUCGGGGGAUGACGGUACCGGAAGAAUAAGCACCGGCUAACUACGUG